AUGUACAUUCUUACAACACAACGUUAAUGCACCAGAUUCCAUUAGAACUCCGCAGUUAAGCACACUCAGUCUAGAGUAGUAUUGGAAUGGGUGACCGCUCGGAAGUCCUAGUGUUUUACAUG
rnacentral:rRNA from 1 species